GAUGAACGCUGGCGGCGUGCCUAAUACAUGCAAGUCGAGCGCAGCGGGGACGGGUGAGUAACACGUGGAUAACCUACUUUAAGUCUGGGAUAACUUCGGGAAACCGGUGCUAAACCGGCUACUUGUAGGUGGAUCAGCGCUGCAUUAGCUAGUUGGUAAGGUAACGGCUUACCAAGGCAACGAUGCAUAGCCGACCUGAGAGGGUGAUCGGCCACACUGGAACUGAGACACGGUCCAGACUCCUACGGGAGGCAGCAGUAGGGAAUCUUCCGCAAUGGGCGAAAGCCUGACGGAGCAACGCCGCGUGAGUGAUGAAGGUCUUCGGAUCGUAAAACUCUGUUAUUAGGGAAGCGGUACCUAAUCAGAAAGCCACGGCUAACUACGUGCCAGCAGCCGCGGUAAUUC
rnacentral:rRNA from 1 species